UUUACAGCCACAUUUAAAAUUUAAUGAUAUUUCGGUUUAAGUCAGCUUUUCUGCGCGGUUUUUGGUGGAGAUUGUACUGGUGCUUUUGGAGAGUUAAGCAUGGUCACAUUUGCUUGCAUGUCUGUAAGAAUCAGGUGAUUUUUAAGCUUAUCUACUACUUCUGUGGGUUUUUUUGUUUUGGGGGUUUUUGUUUGUUUGUUUUGUAAGAAUGCAUUGAUUUAUAGAAUACCCCUCUUCAGGUACUGCCCAACGUAGUUAAGGACUCUGUCCAAGUCUUACUGCAAAUAAGUAUUUUCAAUAAUAUUCAAUAUUUUAAUUGUUUCUCAGCUGAAGAAUGUUCUAUUUCUAGGUUAGGUUUGACAAAACUGGUUGUUCAGUUUAAAACUGAGCCCAAGUGAAAUUGUAAUGAAGAUAGGCCCCAGAAACAAGUGUAUUCUCUGUCUGCUUUGUCUCCUUGUCUUGUGUCUUGCUUAGUGCUCCCGCAUGGUACAUACAGUCCAUUACAAUUUGCCUUCAAGUUGAUCUUUUCCUGGAUAGAAAAGGAUAGUUUCUCUCAAACAGUUUCAGAACUUUGCUGGAUCCCAGCAGACCAUGGCAUCCCAGCAGACCAUGGCAUCCCAUGGCCACUGCCCUUAUCUGCGAGAAAGCUGUACUGACACCACCACCACCACCACCACCACCACCACCCAUUACACCAGAUGGUGUUUUUGCUGUCAAAUUUUACCACACUUGAUGAUGACUUACGCUGAACUUCACUUCAGAUGCUCCUGCAACUGCAUAGGGGAUGGUUUUCUUAUCUUGAGAAAAGGCCCUUUCCGAAUGUUUUAUGGCUCAAGUAGCUGUGACCCUCCACUGAUUCGGUGAGUGGAACUGGGAUCUCUGAUUCUCUCCUACCCCACCCAAGUUCAUCUUGGUCUCUUUCUCACCUGAUGAACAUAUGUUCACUGGCAUGUUAAUUAGGGCAUGUGUGGGAUAUGGAAGAGUUGAUGUUUAAAGUCAUUGAAAUGAUUGUCAUGACUCAUAACAGGGGCAUGAACUCACAGAGUAGACGUGAGAACUAUUGAUACAUUUUUAUCUGUAUAAUUAAAUAAAAGUUCAUUUCAUCAAAUGCUUUCUCAGACACUUUUUUUAUCUGAUAACCAGAAAAAGAUGUGAGCUGAGAGUUACUGAAGUCUUAGUUAAUUGUAAUGACUGUUCAUCUAACUGUUCUUAUAACUGUACAGCUCUCUUGCACCUGUGUUGGGUAAACUGUAGAUACUAAACCCCAUUUUUAUCUCUUUGGUAAUAUACAUGUGCUUAGAGUAUAAAAACUGGAGUUUCUUUUUAGCAUCCAAGCUGGAUAGUCGGCAGUUUGACUUAAAUCCAGGAAGAGCUUGACUCUUUGCUGCUUUUUUAUCUAAAUGACAUUGCUAAGACUUAUAUUUGGACCAAAGAAGAGAGAAGAAAUAACCUUUUUUUUUAAUCUGAAAAGAGAAGAAACUUUAAACUUAGUCACAAUUUCAGCUGGACCUUAAGAAGCUCAUCAAGAACCUGUAUUCAUAAUAAAUUUCCCUCCUCCUU